UACGUAGGGUGCAAGCGUUGUCCGGAAUUACUGGGCGUAAAGCGCGCGUAGGCGGCUUUGCAAGUCGGGUGUGAAAUCCCCAGGCUUAACCUGGGAACUGCAUUCGAGACUGCAUUGCUAGAGUAUGGGAGAGGGAAGUGGAAUUUCCGGUGUAGCGGUGAAAUGCGUAGAUAUCGGAAGGAACAUCAGUGGCGAAGGCGACUACCUGGCCUGUUUCUUGACGCUGAGGCGCGAAAGCUAGGGGAGCAAACGGG
rnacentral:rRNA from 1 species